UGCGGGAUGACGCAGUGGUAGCGUGCUAGGUUCAUACCCUAGAAGUCGGGGGUUCGACUCCCCCUCCCGCUACUA
rnacentral:tRNA from 1 species